GGCGCCGGUGGCCCAGUCGGCGGGGCCUGGGCGUUCGUAGCGGUCAGCGUCGGUGAUCAUCUCGCCCAGCGUGCC
rnacentral:tRNA from 1 species